CGGACGGGUGAGUAACGCGUGAGAAUCUAACUUCAGGACGGGGACGACAGUUGGAAACGACUGCUAAUACCCGAUGUGCCGCAAGGUGAAACCUAAUUGGCCUGGAGAAGAGCUUGCGUCUGAUUAGCUAGUUGGUGGGGUAAGAGCCUACCAAGGCGACGAUCAGUAGCUGGUCUGAGAGGAUGAGCAGCCACACUGGGACUGAGACACGGCCCAGACUCCUACGGGAGGCAGCAGUGGGGAAUUUUCCGCAAUGGGCGAAAGCCUGACGGAGCACCGCCGCGUGAGGGAGGAAGGUCUUUGGAUUGUAAACCUCUUUUCUCAAGGAAGAAGUUCUGACGGUACUUGAGGAAUCAGCCUCGGCUAACUCCGUGCCAGCAGCCGCGGUAAUACGGGGGAGGCAAGCGUUAUCCGGAAUUAUUGGGCGUAAAGCGUCCGCAGGUGGUCAGCCAAGUCUGCCGUCAAAUCAGGUUGCUUAACGACCUAAAGGCGGUGGAAACUGGCAGACUAGAGAUCAGUAGGGGUAGCAGGAAUUCCCAGUGUAGCGGUGAAAUGCGUAGAGAUUGGGAAGAACAUCGGUGGCGAAAGCGUGCUACUGGGCUGUAUCUGACACUCAGGGACGAAAGCUAGGGGA
rnacentral:rRNA from 1 species